rnacentral:rRNA from 12 species
GCUAAAUAAGGGCGUAUGGGGAAUGCCUAGGCUCUCAGAGGCGAAGAAGGACGUGAUAAGCUGCGAAAAGCUGCGGGGAUCGGCACACACGAUUUGAUCCGUAGAUAUCCGAAUGGGGAAACCCACUAUAUUGAAGAUAUAGUAUCCGAAAGGAGGCGAACCCGGAGAACUGAAACAUCUAAGUACCCGGAGGAGAAGAAAACAAAAGUGAUUCCGUUAGUAGUGGCGAGCGAACGCGGAUUAGCCCAAACCAGUGUUGUUACGGCAAUACUGGGGUUGUAGGACCACAAUAUUGAUUGCGCAAUGAAUUAGAACCCUUUGGAAAGAGGGGCCAUAGACGGUGAUAGCCCGGUAUAAGUAAAGAGCGUUAAUUAUAGUGGUAUCCUGAGUAGUGCGGGGCACGUGAAACCCUGUAUGAAUUUGUCGGGACCAUCCGAUAAGGCUAAAUACUCCUGAGAGACCGAUAGUGAACUAGUACCGUGAGGGAAAGGUGAAAAGAACCCUGAAUAAGGGAGUGAAAUAGAACCUGAAACCAUACGCUUACAAGCGGUCGGAGCGCACAUGUGCGUGACGGCGUGCCUUUUGCAUAAUGAGCCUACGAGUUACCGUUGCUAGCAAGGUUAAGUGAUUAAGUCACGAAUCCGUAGCGAAAGCGAGUCUGAAUAGGGCGUAUAGUAUUUGGUCGUAGACCCGAAACCAGGUGAUCUACCCAUGUCCAGGGUGAAGUUCAGGUAACACUGAAUGGAGGCCCGAACCCACGCACGUUGAAAAGUGCGGGGAUGAGGUGUGGGUAGGGGUGAAAUGCCAAUCGAACCUGGAGAUAGCUGGUUCUCUCCGAAAUAGCUUUAGGGCUAGCCUCAAGGUAAGAGUCUUGGAGGUAGAGCACUGAUUGGACUAGGGGCCCCUACCGGGUUACCGAAUUCAGUCAAACUCCGAAUGCCAAAGACUUAUCCUUGGGAGUCAGACUGCGAGUGAUAAGAUCCGUAGUCGAAAGGGAAACAGCCCAGACCGCCAGCUAAGGUCCCAAAGUAUACGUUAAGUGGAAAAGGAUGUGGAGUUGCUUAGACAACCAGGAUGUUGGCUUAGAAGCAGCCAUCAUUUAAAGAAAGCGUAAUAGCUCACUAGUCGAGUCGGCCUGCGCGGAAGAUGUAACGGGGCUAAGCAAUAUACCGAAGCUGCGGCAG